ensembl:snRNA U6 U6 spliceosomal RNA
ACGCUUACUUCACCAGCACAUGUACUAAAAUUGGAAUAAUACAGAGAAGAUUAGCAUGGUCCCUGUGCAAAGAUGCCAUGCAAAUUUGUGAAGCAUUCCAUACUGUU